UUUGAUUGUGAAUGUCCCUGAUUACAAUGUAAAAAGAGGAGAGGGGCAUGAUUUUCUGUCACUGUUUGCCUUAACAGCUACUUGUAAACCACUGUACUGGUUUAGGGACUAGGGCUUCACUCAAGAAGACACAGUUGUGAGUUCUGGGUGAUCAAAGAACUUUGGACUAUUACAGAUAUGAGCACUACUGGAGGGGAAGAUGCAAACUGGGAAAGGUCGCUGAAAAUAUACCACCUUGUUGCUGUUCAGAUUACCUUCCCCUCUAACUGGCCCACCACCACUAUCUGAUACAAGCAACUUUCUGAAGCUCAAAUAUGGUAAAAACAAAAACCAAACAGUUGAAUAUUGACUCUAAAAAUGCUUUCAGCAAUUAUGAGCAAACAUUUCUCCCUCAGUGAAGCUUUAUAACACUUAUUGUCUUUAGCAGUUUUAAGAAUGAACAGUGGGAGGUUGGGUGGGAUGGAAGCCAUUCAGGGGUCCAUGUGUCUGGCUCAGGGGAAGCCAGGCUUUGCUGAAAUAACCCUCCUCUUUUAAGAUGAGUCAAGUUCACAUAAAAGAUAAAUGGCAAGUCCAGGACCCAGGCUGCUGAAAUCUGCAGCCAGAGGUCUCUUUCAGGCACCACACUACUCUUACAGGUUUGGGUUCUAAUCCCAACUUUGUUCUCUGUGCAAAUACCAACUAAGGUGGAAAUGGAGAAAAGAGAACUCUGCCAAAUGACUUCUAUACAAAUGAAAAUUUGAUGAUUUAAAAAUUGUUGACUUAAAUUUUAAAAAUGGAAAAAUAAAAAAUCAAUAUAACAGCUACAGGCAUAUUCCGUUCUCCACCCUGCUAGUUCAUGACCUCUGGACUCUAUCAGCUGAUUUCUAAUGCUCUCUGCUUCCUUUUCUGUUUGUGACCACUCAGCGGUCAUUCCUACCUAUUCAGUGGCCCAAGCGUCGGGAGCUGGGAGCCUCCUCGCAGUCCUCUUGGAGGCGGCCUGGGCUCCUCUUCAGCAGGAACUGAUGAACAUGCUCCAAGAGCAGCUGUGCCCACCAGACCCGUCUGCCACCACGGUUGAGAAGCCGUAAAUUUUAGAGCUGAAAUUUACCCACCCUGAAAUUCCUCCAGGGUCAACAUCUUUUCAGGAGCGGCCUGCUCAUCCUUUGCCAUCUCUUCAGGGUCUCCUCAGGUGUGACCUCGUGCAGGUACUCACGGGAGUCGGAGCCAUGUAGGUGCAGCACUUUCCUGCCAGCCCCCUGCACAUCAGACCCGCGGAGGGAGCUCCCUGCCCCUGCUCAGGCAGAGGACAGUCUGCUUUACCCAGAGCGAAAAUAGAUGAACUGUUCCAUUUUGAAGUCAAGAUUGGUGCCACCCAAGUGGAUUCCUGCUGGAAGGACUGUGAUGACGUCCUCCUCCUUUAUCUACAGGACAAAAGGGCCUCUGGACGCUGUGAACGUUUCCCUGUAAAUUAUGACAUUUGGACCCCUCUCUGGGAAGCACAGAAAGGCUUCCACGUUAUAAAUAAAUUCUAUCCUUUGUGUUCA